rnacentral:rRNA from 1 species
CCUACGGGGGGCAGCAGUAGGGAAUAUUGCUCAAUGGGGGAAACCCUGAAGCAGCAACGCCGCGUGGAGGAUGAAGGUUUUCGGAUUGUAAAACCCUUUUGUUAGAGAAGAUAAUGACGGUAUCUAACGAAUAAGCACCGGCUAACUCCGACCCAACAGCCGCGGUAAUACGGAGGUUGCAAGCGUUACUCGGAAUCAGUGGGCGUAAAGAGCGCGUAGGCGGGAUAGCAAGUCAGAUGUGAAAUCCUAGGGCUUAACCAUAGAACUGCAUUUGAAACUGGUAUUCUAGAGUAUGGGAGAGGUAGGUGGAAUUCUUGGUGUAGGGGUAAAAUGCGUAGAGAUCGAGAGGAAUACUCAUUGCGAAGGCGACCUGCUAGAACAUAACUGACGCUGAUGCGCGAAAGCGUGGGGAGCAAACAGGAUUAGAUACCCCAGUAGUC